rnacentral:rRNA from 1 species
UACGUAGGGCGCAAGCGUUGUCCGGAAUCAUUGGGCGUAAAGAGCUCGUAGGCGGCUCAUUGCGUCAACCGUGAAAUCCUGCUGCUCAACGGCAGGUCUGCGGUUGAUACGGGCAGACUAGAGUGCGGUAGGGGAGAUUGGAAUUCCUGGUGUAGCGGUGGAAUGCGCAGAUAUCAGGAGGAACACCGAUGGCGAAGGCAGAUCUCUGGGCCGUAACUGACGCUGAGGAGCGAAAGCGUGGGGAGCGAACAGG